rnacentral:tRNA from 1 species
GGCGAGAUGGCCGAGUGGUCUAAGGCGCCAGACUAAGGUCAGCACGGUUUUCCGUGCUCCAAUGAUGUUUCCGACGUCAUCUGGUCUUUCGGGGCGUGGGUUCGAAUCCCACUCUCGUCA